CACAACGCACACCCAGCGAUCACAAUAGGACAGGGACAGGACAGGAGCAAAGCGAAAGUAAAACCCACACUCUCUUCUUCAGGUUCUGGUGCUGGUGACGCAGGCGCAGGCGCUGCGCUUCAAUAAUAAAAAAAUCCCCCUCCUCUUGUUAAUCAGGAUGAGCAAGAAGGCAUAAGAAAGAGAAGCAGGGCACCCCCGGCGAUGGCAGUGGCGAUGGCGAUGGCGGGAGAGAUAGCACGACCUGGGCCAGGAGAAGAAGAGGAAGAAUAGAAACGGAUGACGCCCUACUCAUCAAACCACUGCAUACUGUUAGUGGGUGAAUUCUCUUUCUCUAAAGGCUUGGCUAUGGCUAUGGCUUUUGGCUCCGCCUCCAACAUUCAUGCUACUUCUUAUGAUACCUACGAUCAGUUGGUGAAGAAAUUCAAGAAGGCAAAAUCAAACUUAGGGAUUUUGAAGGAGCUGGGAGCUUCCUUGACACAUGGAGUAGACACCACGAAAUUGAAAUUGUAUACUGAUUUUCACCUGCAGAUAUUCGAUUGAAUCAUUUUCAACUUUCGUCAUGCAGGCUUCUAUGGGGAGGAAGACAAUAGGCUUAUGAUCAACAUGCAUAGAGCACUUCUGGACGGAUUCUUUUGAAAUGCAGGUGCCAUGCUUCUUCCAAUGGUGAAGUACAUGUAAGCCACAAAAUCAGUCCUCCCUUCAGCAAUUGGAAUAUCGAGGUCAUUGCGUCCCAGAAUUUUCUGGAACUGAUUGAGUGCAUGGAGUUUAGAAAGGAAGACUACCCUGAAUAUAACCAUAAGAAAGGAGCUGGUUCGAGGUGUGACAAACCAUUUCCCCUGGGUGCCUGUAGCACCUUCAAGUUCGGAUUGUCGUACUAAGCGAUAAAGAUGUCCCAGGCAUCGAGGACAAAGCACAUAUACUCCUCGGAAGACCUCCUUAGCAAUGUUUUGGGACCCCAAUCCCAUGGGGGCAGCGGCCACUGAAUUCUUUUGGUCUUACUUAUUCUCACGCUGCACAGCUUCCAAAUGUAGGUUUGAUAGCGGAGCAUGUGAAUCUGGCUCCUGCUAGCAGUGGUCGCAUAAAAGAAAACAUGACUUUGCCAUUUAAGAUAAGCAUUAGAAAUGAAUAUCCAGGGUUAUCUAUUCAGUACUUACAUGACACGAGGAAGGCUCCAGGAACAUUUUAUGAUGUUCAAGGGAGUUCUAUGGCUGGCCACUACCCGGGGGUGUGUGCUGAAAGAUACGAUUCCAGUUUCCCAAGUAGAACCUUAAAUGGAGACUUAUAUGCAGCGCAUGAACUUCAGUGUACAAAAAAGCUUCAGAGCUUUAAGGUUGCAAAGGCGGUCACUACUUCCUGAUCAUCGAUUGAGUGCCAGUGACAGCAGGGAACUUCUGCAAAUAUCUGAAUUAAUCUAAGAAAGUUGAACUAGCUGUUAGAUUCUAGAAUGCUUUGUGGGAUUAGACCUCAAAUAUCCUCUGCGAAUACCGGAUGUUACAUUAGAUGCACCGGAGAGUGGAGACUUCCUCGCCUGCUUCAGAGUGGGAGAUCUCUGUCCUCAACUUAGGGCCAGUUCUUACUGCUUACUGCUGUUGAUGACCUUAGAUGUUGUUAUGUUGUGUCGAUUCUGCUUACUGUUACUACCAAGCACCUAACCUUAAAGGAGAGUUGCUUCAACUUAUGGAUGUUAAAUUGACCAUCUCGUCUAGAUGAAUAAUGUUGAGCUAUUUGAGGGCA